AACAACUUAACAAACAGGUCAUCUCCUUAGUAUUCUCUGAUAGGGAUGUGAAUGUAGGCAAACUAAAAACAGCCCCUUUAAGUUGCACUUUUUGGACACUUGUGUUUAGUCAUGCUCAGCUGCCUGUAGGAGCUGGUUAGGACAUGACUGUAUCAGACCCUGUGACACUGAGAGAAGAGAAUAAGCUGUUCUGUUGUUGCCCUUUUUUUUUUUUUUCCUGCUGUACCUAUUCAAUGAUCCCAUGUGAAUAAUUCAUUCAGACCUAAAGGAGUGCUGAACCCAUGUGCUUCACAGUAGUUAACCAGGAAGAGGAGGAAGGAUUGUCCUGUUAGUAGUCUGAAAUGAUUAGAAGAUCCAUGGGAAUGGAAGCUUUCAGAAGGAGGAAGUUUGUAUAUUGAAUCAUGCAAAGUAUGGAUUAUGCAAAACAGCCCAGCUGUAAUUUCGAGUGAAAGGAGAGACAGGUCAACACUUUGCAGGACUUUACAGGACAGAACUCUAAGCACUGCAAGAGAUCCUGACACCAGUGAAUGAGUCCAUGCAGCAGAUCAUAAACACAUCACCAAGUCAUGAUAUUGGAACAUCACUUCCUGCCGAUACCUAAAUAUUAAUAAUCAGCCAGAUAACUGAUUAUUCUGUGCUCAGCGAGAAACCUUGUGGCUUUGCAACGUUUCACCCGGCGCGCUGCAACAACCAACAUCUCUGCUGCUGAAAGCUCUCAAACAAAAAUAUUCGGAAUAAACUUCCAAUACUUUGGAACCCUGCCAGUCGUGGGCAUCUUUCAGGAGAGGCAGCAGAUACAGGCUUACUGUCCGUUAUUAUGUUUGUCGUCUGCUGUGGUCCUUGAGGUUGCUUCUUGUAUUUCCAGCGGCCGUAAGACGUUCUUGCAGAGCUUACUGGUUAAUCGCGAUACGUUAAACAAGCUGCGAAGUGCUGUGGGAAACCAUUGCAAAGAUACUUAACAGACUGAUACACUACGCUAUGUCUGUAACCUCUUUCCAUCUGAUAGUGCCGUCGUUUUGAAUGGGCUGUGUGGGAGGCAGCCUGUUGCCCCGACCUGAGCUCAUGCCACAUUUCUCAGGCAGAUGCUUCCGUCUCCCCGACGUAACAUGCAGGCUAGACAAGGCUCACGGGAGGGAAACGUGUGAAGUAAUUCCCAUUCCCCCCUCUUCCAAGUAUGUAACACCGUUGUACUGCUUGUCAGAUAUGUUUUGAGACAAUAGUUUUAUUUUUCUCGUCUAUAACAUCAGGUAUUGUUAUCACUAUCAUUACUAUUAUUACGUAUUAUUGAAACCAGUCUGAAACUGCAUACCCAUAUGCAAUUGCAUCUGAAACACUUAACUGAGAUGAGAUGAGAUAACCACGGUGCGCGAGGCUCAGCCAGCUGGAGCAAGGGGGCAGAGGACUUCCAAAGAGGAGCUGGGAUGGCGCAUGCAAAAGGCUCGUUAAAUGCGUCAGCUUCCCUCGCUGGAAGAGCAGGAAAGAUCCAGCCUGAGGCCAGGACCCGGCUUUCUGGGUGAGAAGAAGCACGGGAGCACCAAUGCCUGUGUCUGAGUGGCAUUUCCAGCCGAGUUCCUGGGCUGCGUGGCUGAAAUCUGGCAGAGACCACGUACUAAACUUGACCCCAAAGUGGUGUAACAGACCUGUGGCCUCAUCCUUACCCAACUCCAACGCCUGUCUGCACUUGAACUAAAUGUUAAAAAGUGGUAUUUCCUGAGAGCACUGUGAGGAGCCUUAAGGGCUGGCUACCGGGCAUGCAGUGAGAGCCAACAGCUGGCCUGGCCACUCUGCUCCUUAUCUCCAGACUGAUAGCAUCAAAGGUCUCAGCCUGUUCUGGCUGGGGGCUGGCUCUUGCCAGGCAGUGAAUGGCUUAUGAAGGUGCUUCAGCUUAGAUUUCAGGUGGGUUUCAGCACUGAUGCACUCACUGCAGUAGCAUCCCCAUUACUGAGGACUGGAUCCAAUGUAGGAUUUGGAUAUGUGAAGAACAAAUGCCUCAGGAGGAAAGUGGCCAUAAACCACUUGUGACAGCUGCCCAGCCUGCAUCAGCAGCUUUCUGUGGAAGUUCCCACAAGUGUCUGUAUGAGAGCUCCAGGGAAAACUAUGGAACAGGUCCAGGGAAAAGGAAGGUAACUUUCUUAUAUAAAUGAAAUCAACACAUUUUCACCCACAUUUUUGCUUUUCAUUAAAAUGGAUCCAGCUGUGGAAGCACUAGCAAGGAAGAAUGUGACCUCAGGUCCCUGUUAGAGGGGUGGGAACAAUUGUAGUAAGGGGAAAUCAAUGCAAGAUCUUUUAUGGCCAAUACAGGCUAUAAAUUACAGACCUAGGCAGAUAAAGCAUUUAGAAGUCACACUUGCAGAGCCACGGUGAAGAGAUAACAAAGGAAAACUACACCAAAGUCCCAGUUCUUCAGCACUUAUGAUCUUAAUUAAAGGGUAAUGUAAUCAAUCUGGUGAUUAAUCAUAAACUUUUUAUUGAGGGAGAGUAGUAGGCAUUCCUACCAAAGGCACCAGCGCCCAUUUUGCUAUCAGUCUGUCUAACUCCAUUGCACUGAAUCCUUCCUGCUCUGAAAUAUCUUCAUGGACACCUGUGGACUUAUGUCAAGAUAAGAUCAGCCCAUGGAGAAAAACACAAGAUACUCUACCACCUACCUGGAGUCAAAUAAAUGGAUUCAAAUCCACAUUCCUGCAGGGAGGUGAGAAAUCUGAAUGGCUUGGGUAAUGCACAGCACUGUAUGCAUAAACUACACGUUCCUUAAGGACAUUAAACUUGCAGUCCCUCAGGGGAGGGCAUGAACCAUCACUGCUCCCUGCAGUACACAUGGUGGCAUGAGGGACACCAACAAGGGACACCGCCGCCCAUCCUGCUGCACAGCACCGCCACCGAAGGCAAUGGAGGGUCUGGAAAAGACGGAGCGAUUGCCUGCCACAGCCAGCAAGGACGAAGUGGCCAAGAGUUUGUGCAUUCAGAUCCCUGUGGGAGGAUGGGAACAACCCCUCCAAUCCCUCCUCCACGAUCCUGGCUUUACUGCAAGAACCCAGCCACAAAGCUAAGCCGGUCUGUUUACCAACGUAACAGUCAGAGCAAGAGCUUACAUCAUAUUGGAGCAAACAAAGCCUGGGGGGAAAAUACCUCUAACUUAAGGUAUAUUCUGAUGUAAGAGUAAGAGCUAGCAGCAUUUCAGGGUCCUUUUGUAAUAAUAACUCCCACGCUGGAGCCUUAAGCAUUAAUGGUCUGUGAAAGCUAUUAUUUGAUGUUUUUAGCAUUGAAUUUCAUUCUGACAGGACUUCAUGAUACGUAUUACAGAAAAAAUACUGUUAACCUAAUCAUAUUAAUACCAAAUCUUUGUACUGUAAUAGCCUCAAACAUUUAGAGCAAGGCACAAACCUGACUUUUCAUAAAUACAGAAAGACAGAAGUUUUAAUGAUGUUAUUUUCCUACUGCUUCCCCGACUGCAUCUGUUAGAGUCACUAAGACCAAGGACCAUCAUUCCUCUCUUUUACAGACAGAAGAGUGGAAAAGAUGCUUGGCUUUCCAGGGCCGAACCCUGCACUUCUUAUUCCCAGGGACAGCCUCUUCAGGCAUUAUCAAUUUGUCUUUGUCUUUCCCUUUUUAAGACAUGCCUGGCAUAAGUUGCGUCUGAAAUAUAAUUCCUGAUUUCUGCUGCUGCUGACAGUUUAAAUUAUUAAGAGGAAUUUUAAAGUUCUUUUUAGGUCUCUCACUUUUACAUGACAGUUUUCCUUCCCGCAUUUCAGUUGGUUUUGGUAGUCUUGUCGGAGUCAAUUUUUCUUUCUCUUUAUUAAAACAAACUCUAUGCUGUCUGCCUUUGAUGAGCUUCUAAAUGCAAAGGAAAGAAAAAAAUAUACAGGUAGUAAAUACUCUGAAACAUUCACCUAUGCAUAUAGUUCAGACAAAGUGAAUCUGCAUCCUCAUGUUGUCAAGAAGGGCCCUUUAAGCUUGAAACGAGAGCAGAUUCUUUCAAACUUUCCCAGAGAAUAGCAGUGACCUUGCAGAUCAGAUAACCCAUGGUCUACAAGAGUUCAAAUAUGUCAUCAGGACUUUAUUUUACUGUUCAGUGUUCCUCAGCCUAGUUGUUCAAGUCAGGCUAAUUCCAACCUCUACCCCCCAAAAAAAAGCCCUACAGGAGUGCACAAUGCCAGCAGAGCAGAGCUGGGUAUGAGCAAGGAUAAAUGAGGCCGUCUGUCAAAAGCUGGACUGUCAUUGAGAGGCUGCGAUCCAAUGGGCACAACAUAUUAAACCUAAGGAAAAUACUUGUUCCCCUUACUUCAUUCUCUAGCAGGCUGCAGCUCAUGAAAUCCAUCAUGGACUUCACGUUAGUACAGAAAUUCGCUCCAGCACUUCUCCACUGACUCUCGGUAUUAACUGAGACUUCUCCUGUUUUUAUAAGACAAAUACUUCUUCAUGUUGCUGGGGAAGCAACAGUGUUGCUUCCAAUUUGUUGUUGUACCAAUAGCAUUUGUCUCACUGCAGCGUGAGCCACUGCAGGGAAGAAAACCAGGAGAGGACCAAUCACUUCCAGCAACACUAACUCUACAUUAGUUUAGCCUCAACUUCAAGCUGUACCCUAAGGCUCCAGCUCAGCAACAGGUAUCUUACUUUUGAGCUCAUGAGUAGUUCUGGUGCACUCAUGUGUUUUGACUUAAGCAUGUGCUUCAACCUCUUAUUGAAUGGGCUUCUAAAUCAUUUGAAAUCCAGCCCCAUUUCCAUCACUGAAAACCAUUGUAUUACAUCACUGGGUUGCUCCAGAAGUAGGGAAAAAAUAUUCUUGGUAUUUCUCGAGACAGUUUUACCGUUGUUAUGCUGCUGUUUUGCUGGGAUUCAGCUUCAGUAAACAGUUCCAGCCCCAGUCUGAAUUCAAAGCCAGAACUGGGGUUUGAUGAAACGCUUGGGUGCUGGACUGAACGUGCUCCAACUAUACAGGGAUUUUGGAGAGGAGAGAUAAGGUGAGGGCUUUCAAGCAAAAAUGUAGCCGUUCCCCUUUUCCAGAUCCUCCCCUUCCCAGCGCAGUAUUCUGGGAAACUGCCUGCCCGUUUCAAGACCUGCUGCAAUGAGCCCUGGUGUCAUGGUACAAGGCAGGGAAUUUCAGGUUGGAACUAAGUAUCUUUUUGGGUUUGUUUAUUUCCCUUAAAUUGCCUGAAGUCUUGCUUUCCAAUGUCCCACCACUUUCCAGAGACAAUCUGUCAGAGGAUCCCAACCUCCCUCCAUCCAUCCAUGUGUCUCCGUAGCCCAAUGUGACCAUCGCUAGGGGAUUCCAGGGUUGCACCCUCUCUGUUUUUAGCAGCGUGCCAACUAUUCCCCGUUAUCAUCAUGUGGAUGGAGGCAAGACGUGCUGGCAGAGCCUUACCCUUUCUUGAGAGCCUGGGGACCCUGCAGCACGGGGAACAGCAGGCUCCAGGUCCUUCCUAGGCCAAGACAAUGCUAGUACCAUGGAGAACCUUAUUCUUCGGAAACAAAGCAUCUCUGAUUCAGCUGUUACUCAAAACAGAAAUUCAUGUUUUAGUAGGGCUUUCUGCUUUAACCCAUCUGAAAUGUAAUACCCGUUAACACAGAUGUUAGCACACCUUUGCCUUUUCUUUCUCCCCCAAGAAGAAGAGCCCGCAGUUUAAGGUUGUAAGUCUGAGCAAUUCAGUAAAUGAUGCAAAUACAAAUGAAAAUUAGCCAACAAAAGAAAUUCAAUUGAGUUUAAUAGGAGGCUAUUAUCAUACCUCGCAUUCUCUGCUGCCCUAGCACAGGUAGGAACCAACCACAGGGGACGGAACAGCUCUGUCUGCUCACAUAGCGCAUACAUACAAGGCAAACAGCAGCAGAAAACCCGGUUUAUUUGACUGUAGUCAUUAGCGCUACGCAUUACAGGGUCAGUGCCGCUUCGCAGAGCGCUCCGCGUGUCCCCCCGCUCCCCAAGGAGCAGCACCGCACGGGGCCCGACAGAUGUGAGCCCACCGCGGUGGGGUCUCUCCGGCCCUCGUGUCGCUCCGCCAUCCCCGUUCGGCAGCCGAGCUUCCCGAAUCGGGCCUACUGGCGUCAGCGGGGGGGGGGUGGGGGGGACUGGGCUGGGCCGCGCCGGCCGGCCGCUGGGUGCCGGCAGGCC
ensembl:lncRNA